rnacentral:misc_RNA from 1 species
UUUCCGUAGGUGAACCUGCGGAAGGAUCAUUAUUGAAAAAGACUAGACGCCCCGUUUUUUCGUAAAAUGGGUUUAAUACCCACAACCGUGUAUACCUUACCUUUUGUUGCUUUGGCAGGCCGCCUCCGGGCGUUGGCUUCGGCUGACAGCGCCUGCCAGAGGACCCAAACUCUGUGUUUAGUGAUGUCUGAGUAAUAUAUAAUAUUUUAAGACUUUCAACAACGGAUCUCUUGGUUCUG